rnacentral:rRNA from 1 species
AUGGGGGAAAUCAUCAUGGUUGUAAAUCAUGGAAUACCAGAUGAGGUCAUCAUGGGUAUGAAGCAUGACAUUCAGAAGUUUUUUCAACUCCCCCUCGAUGUUAAGAAUGCAUAUGCUCAGCGGCAAGGGGAUCUUCAAGGUUAUGGUCAAGCGUUUGUUGUCUCUAAUGAUCAAAAGUUAGAAUGGGCUGACAUGUUUGCACUCUUCGCCCAACCACCCGAAGCCCGUGAUAUGAGUUACUGGCCAUGUGAACCUCAUACUUUCAGGAAUUUUAUUGAAAAGUACUCUUCGGAGGUGAUGAAACUUGCUCAUUCUCUUGGCAUCUUCGUUGCAAAAACACAAGAUCUUAAUCCCAAAUUGGUUGAAGACAAACAUGUGGCGCAAUUUCUCAGGAUGGGCUACUACCCUCCAUGCAUGCCAAUGCCAGAAAAGGUUCUAGGCUUCACACCGCAUUCUGAUAUGUCAUUUCUAACUAUUCUACUGGAAGUUAAUUCAGUUCAAGGCAUACAAAUUAGAAGGCAUGGUGCAUGGAUACCCGUGAAACCAUGUCGCAACGCACUAUUGGUGAAUGUGGGUGACCUUCUUGAGGUAUGCUUCUUG